AAAACAACAAAAACAACAAAAACAAAAAAAAGAAAAGGAAAAAGGGAAAGAAAGAGAUAACGUAAGGUGUCUCUGUUAUCAGACCCAUGCCUGCUAUGCUAUCAUAGUUUUGUAUUGGGAAUAAUCUGUGGCAUGGUCAUGAUGACUAAAGGAGCAGGAAGCAACAUCUGCUCUCAACCUUAUCCCAAAUUUCGAGAUUGGAAGGUGGAAAUAAUUUCAUAAUAAAAAGGGGAGAUUCAUAUGCUGUAGGGGUUGGAAUAGAUUGCAUUACAGAGCGUAAGAACAACAGAGGGGAGCCAUUUGAUCAGGGAACUUUCGUUUGACAAUAGGGACUGUAAGAGUUUUCAUCAAGACUCCAAGAAGAUUGUGUGGUUGAAAUGAUUGUGCUGUUAAAUUAUGCAUAAGUCUCAGGUGUAUUCAUUUCAUUAGUUUCUUUCAUUGUGUUUCUGUAUUUAUGUCAUAGAGGUAGUGAUAGGAAUAGGUAAUUGCAUGUAGCAUUACCUUGGUUGAAAUUCUUAAAGAGUAUUUAAAGUGAUUGUAUAUCUAGAGUGUAGGUUUUACAUAAGUGAAUCUUGUACUCCUAACUCUUUGAUAUUUUUAGUGAAAUUUCUAGCUAGGAUGGGUAGAGACCGGAUAUAGAUUCAUUUAAAUCGAACCUGUAUAAAUUUGGUUUA